AAACUUGAGAGUUUGAUCAUGGCUCAGAAUGAACGCUGGCGGCACGCUUAACACAUGCAAGUCGAACGAGAUCUUCGGAUCUAGUGGCAGACGGGUGCGUAACGCGUGGGAACCUGCCCUUUAGUAAGGAAUAACUCAGGGAAACUUGUGCUAAUACCUUAUAAUCCCUUUGGGGGAAAGCUUUAUGCGCUAAUGGAUGGGCCCGCGUUAGAUUAGCUUGUUGGUGAGGUAAUGGCUCACCAAGGCGACGAUCUAUAGCUGGUCUGAGAGGAUGAUCAGCCACACUGGGACUGAGACACGGCCCAGACUCCUACGGGAGGCAGCAGUGGGGAAUAUUGGACAAUGGGGGCAACCCUGAUCCAGCGAUGCCGCGUGAGUGAUGAAGGCCCUAGGGUUGUAAAACUCUUUCGCCAGGGAAGAUAAUGACGGUACCUGGUAAAGAAGAUCCGGCUAACUCCGUGCCAGCAGCCGCGGUAAUACGGAGGGAUCUAGCGUUAUUCGGAAUAACUGGGCGUAAAGCGAGCGUAGGCGGAUUUGUAAGUUGGAGGUGAAAUCCCAGGGCUUAACCCUGGAACUGCCUUCAAAACUACAUUUCUUGAGUUUGGUAGAGGAGAGUGGAAUUCCUAGUGUAGAGGUGAAAUUCGUAGAUAUUAGGAGGAACACCAGUGGCGAAGGCGACUCUCUGGGCCAAUACUGACGCUGAGGUUCGAAAGCGUGAGGAGCGAACGGGAUUAGAUACCCCGGUAGUCCACGCAGUAAACGAUGAGUGCUAGAUGUUGGGAACAUUAGUUUUCAGUAUCGCAGCUAACGCGUUAAGCACUCCGCCUGGGAAGUACGGCCGCAAGGCUAAAACUCAAAUGAAUUGACGGGGACCCGCACAAGCGGUGGAUCAUGUGGUUUAAUUCGAAGCAACGCGAAGAACCUUACCGGCUCUUGACAUACCAAUCGCGGAUCUAAGAGAUUAGAUCCUUCACUUCGGGUGGAUUGGAUACAGGUGCUGCAUGGCUGUCGUCAGCUCGUGUCGUGAGAUGUUGGGUUAAGUCCCGCAACGAGCGCAACCCCUACCUUCAAUUGCCAGCACGUUAUGGUGGGAACUUUGAAGGAACUGCCGGUGAUAAGUCGGAGGAAGGUGGGGAUGACGUCAAGUCCUCAUGGCCCUUACGGGCCGGGCUACACACGUGAUACAAUGGUGAUUACAAAGGGCUGCUACAGAGCGAUCUCAAGCAAAUCCUUAAAAGUCAUCUCAGUUCGGAUUGCACUCUGCAACUCGAGUGCAUGAAGUUGGAAUCGCUAGUAAUCGUAGAUCAGCGCGCUACGGUGAAUACGUUCCCGGGUCUUGUACACACCGCCCGUCACACCAUGGGAGUUGGUUUUACCUGAAGCUAGUUCGCUAACCGCAAGGAGGCAGCUAACCACGGUAAGAUUAGCGACUGGGGUGAAGUCGUAACAAGGUAACCGUAGGGGAACCUGCGGUUGGAUCACCUCCUUU
rnacentral:rRNA from 1 species